UACGUAGGUGGCGAGCGUUGUCCGGAUUUACUGGGCGUAAAGAGCGCGCAGGCGGUCGAUUUAGUCGGAUGUGAAAGCCCCCGGCUCAACUGGGGAGGGUCAUUCGAUACUGAUCGACUCGAAGGCGGGAGAGGGAAGCGGAAUUCCCGGUGUAGUGGUGAAAUGCGUAGAUAUCGGGAGGAACACCAGUGGCGAAGGCGGCUUCCUGGCCCGUUCUUGACGCUGAGGCGCGAAAGCUAGGGGAGCAAACGGG
rnacentral:rRNA from 1 species